rnacentral:rRNA from 1 species
UACGAAGGGUGCAAGCGUUACUCGGAAUUACUGGGCGUAAAGCGUGCGUAGGUGGUUUGUUAAGUCUGUUGUGAAAGCCCCGGGCUCAACCUGAGAAUGGCAAUGGAUACUGGCAAGCUAGAGUGCGGUAGAGGGUAGUGGAAUUCCCGGUGUAGCGGUGAAAUGCGUAGAGAUCGGGAGGAACACCAGUGGCGAAGGCGGCUACCUGGACCAGCACUGACACUGAGGCACGAAAGCGUGGGGAGCAAACAGG